GUUGGCCCUUAAUGAAAAAAUCGACGAGGCCCUUGGCGAGGAAAUUGAUGAGAAUUAUUUACACUAUGAAAUGACCCUUAUGGUGACAAACCAACUCAUGAUCAGAUCCGGUACGGUGGAACAUUCAGCGUAUGAACAGAUGGCGAACAAUUUGCCCUAUUUAAAACUGAAGAACUCAAUUGUGAACGAUAUUGUGAGACUGAUUGAUAGGGUGGAGAGAUUAAAGACGUGAUUAUCUAUUUACUACCCAUUAAUAGAAACCAUUGUUCAUUCAAAUUAAUACAAAGUAAAAAAAAUUAAAGGUUAUUUGGCCGAUGAUUUUUUCCUUA